GACGAACGCUGGCGGCGUGCUUAACACAUGCAAGUCGAGCGGUAAGGCCCUUUCGGGGGUACACGAGCGGCGAACGGGUGAGUAACACGUGGGUGACCUGCCCUUAGCUCUGGGAUAAGCCUGGGAAACUGGGUCUAAUACCGGAUAUGACUCCAUGACGCAUGUUGUGGGGUGGAAAGCCUUGUGCGGCUAGGGAUGGGCCCGCGGCCUAUCAGCUUGUUGGUGGGGUGAUGGCCUACCAAGGCGACGACGGGUAGCCGGCCUGAGAGGGCGACCGGCCACACUGGGACUGAGACACGGCCCAGACUCCUACGGGAGGCAGCAGUGGGGAAUCUUGCGCAAUGCGCGAAAGCGUGACGCAGCAACGCCGCGUGGGGAAGACGGCCUCGGU
rnacentral:rRNA from 1 species